CUCAUACUCCCUCCGUCCCAAAAUAAGUGACUAAAAAAUGACCCAACUUUGUACUAAAGUUAGUGUAAAAUUAAGUCAUUUUUGAGUCACUUAUUUUGGGACGGAGGGAGUGUAUG
rnacentral:pre_miRNA from 1 species